ensembl:lncRNA
GGACGCGCUCGGCUACCGCCGUCUAGCAAGUUUGUCUUGGUUUCUGUGUUUGAGAAAAUCCUGAACUUCAGUUCUUGUCAACUCCAUCUCCAAAAGUAUCUGAUUCUCUGAAAGGAACUGUGCCUUCAUCAUUCCAUAUGACCCUGACGGCUGUGCCCUCCUCAGCCAGUGAGAGAACCUGUGACUCCUGGUAA